AGCUCCAAUAGCGUAUACUAAAAUUGCUGCAGUUAAAAAGCUCGUAGUUGGAUUUCUGGCGCGGCGUGCCCGGCCCGGUAGGCUUCGGUCUGCCGAGUGUCGGUUUUGCGCGCCCGCCAUCCUUUCUGGAGAGUGUGGCUACCCUUCACUGGGCCGGUCAUACGAUCUAGAUCGUUUACUUUGAAUAAAUUAGAGUGUUUAAGGCAGGCUUUACGCCGUGAAUACAUUAGCAUGGAAUAAUAAGAUAGGACUUCGGUUCUAUUUUGUUGGUUUAUAGGACUGAAGUAAUGAUUGAUAGGGAUAGUUGGGGGUGCUAGUAUUUAACGGCCAGAGGUGAAAUUCUUGGAUUCGUUAAAGACUAACUAAAGCGAAAGCAUUCACCAAGGAUGUCUUCUUUAAU
rnacentral:rRNA from 1 species